GGGCCCUUAGCUCAUUCGGUUAGAGCAACUGACUCAUAAUCAGUAGGUGGCUGGUUCGAUUCCAGCAGGGCCCA
rnacentral:tRNA from 2 species